GUGGGGAAUAUUGCGCAAUGGGGGAAACCCUGACGCAGCGACGCCGCGUGAGCGAAGAAGGCCUUAGGGUUGUAAAGCUCUGUUUUAAGGGACGAAUGUCGUGGGGAGUAAUAUGCUCUGCGAAUGACGGUACCUUAAGAGGAAGCCCCGGCUAACUACGUGCCAGCAGCCGCGGUAAGACGUAGGGGGCGAGCGUUGUCCGGAAUUACUGGGCGUAAAGAGCACGUAGGCGGGAACUUAAGUCAGGUGUGAAAGACCGGGGCUCAACUCCGGGGUUGCACUUGAAACUGGGGUUGUUGAGGGCAGGAGAGGAAAGCAGAAUUCCUGGUGUAGCGGUGAAAUGCGUAGAAAUCAGGAGGAAUACCAGUGGCGAAGGCGGCUUUCUGGACUGACCCUGACGCUGAGGUGCGAAAGCGUGGGUAGCAAACAGGAUUAGAUACCCUGGUAGUCC
rnacentral:rRNA from 1 species